CCCCUUGAGUCGGGGUGCUGCCUUGUGCGGCUGAGAACAUACCCGUUGCACCUGAACCGGUUAAUGCCGACGGAGGGAACUCGCGGCCGGUUUGG
rnacentral:ncRNA from 2 species